rnacentral:rRNA from 1 species
UACGUAGGGUCCGAGCGUUGUCCGGAAUUAUUGGGCGUAAAGGGCGCGUAGGCGGCCCGGUAAGUCAAAGGUGAAAUCCCUCGGCUCAACUGAGGAACUGCCUUUGAAACUGUCGGGCUUGAGGCCGGGAGGGGGUAGCGGAAUUCCCAGUGUAGCGGUGAAAUGCGUAGAUAUUGGGAGGAACACCGGUGGCGAAGGCGGCUACCUGGACCGGUUCUGACGCUGAUGCGCGAAAGCGUGGGUAGCAAACAGG